CCUACGGGAGGCAGCAGUGGGGAAUUUUCCGCAAUGGGCGAAAGCCUGACGGAGCAAUACCGCGUGAGGGAGGAAGGCUCUUGGGUUGUAAACCUCUUUUUUCAGGGAAGAUAAUGACGGUACCUGAGGAAUAAGCAUCGGCUAACUCCGUGCCAGCAGCCGCGGUAAUACGGAGGAUGCAAGCGUUAUCCGGAAUGAUUGGGCGUAAAGCGUCCGCAGGUGGUUUUAAAAGUCUGUUGUUAAAGCGUGAGACUUAACCUCAUAAGGGCAAUGGAAACUGUAAGACUAGAGUACGUUCGGGGCAAGGGGAAUUCCCAGUGUAGCGGUGAAAUGCGUAGAGAUUGGGAAGAACACCGGUGGCGAAAGCGCCUUGCUAGGCCGUAACUGACACUGAGGGACGAAAGCUAGGGGAGCGAAUGGGAUUAGAUACCCCAGUAGUCCUAGCCGUAAACGAUGGAUACUAGGCGUUGUCUGUAUCGACCCGGACAGUGCCGUAGCUAACGCGUUAAGUAUCCCGCCUGGGAGUACGCACGCAAGUGUGAAACUCAAAGGAAUUGACGGCNGAGANGCGACGACGACACGAGGAGAG
rnacentral:rRNA from 1 species